AACCAUAGAAACCUGCGGAGUACCUGCGGAAGGAUCAUUACAGAGUUGCAAAGCUCCCUAAACCAUUGUGAACGUUACCUAAACCGUUGCUUCGGCGGGCGGCCCGGGUCCUUCCCGGCGCCCAUCGGCCCUCGCGGGCGCCCGCCGGAGGUAAACCAAACUAUUGCAUUGUAUGGCCUCUCUGAGUCUUCUGUACUGAAUAAGUCAAAACUUUCAACAACGGAUCUCAGAUCGGAAGAG
rnacentral:misc_RNA from 1 species